GACGAACGCUGGCGGCGUGCUUAACACAUGCAAGUCGAACGGUGACCCAGGGCUUGCCCUGGUGAUCAGUGGCGAACGGGUGAGUAACACGUGGGCAACCUGCCCCUGACUUCGGGAUAACUCCUCGAAAGAGGAGCUAAUACCGGAUACGACCACUUCGGACAUCCGAUGGUGGUGGAAAGUUUUUCGGUCAGGGAUGGGCCCGCGGCCUAUCAGCUAGUUGGUGGGGUAAUGGCCUACCAAGGCGACGACGGGUAGCCGGCCUGAGAGGGCGACCGGCCACACUGGGACUGAGACACGGCCCAGACUCCUACGGGAGGCAGCAGUGGGGAAUAUUGCGCAAUGGGCGAAAGCCUGACGCAGCGACGCCGCGUGAGGGAUGAAGGCCUCGGUUGUAA
rnacentral:rRNA from 1 species